UGGGGCGUAGCCAAGCGGUAAGGCACGAGGCUUUGGACCUUGGAUGCGCAGGUUCGAAUCCUGCCGCCCCAGCCA
rnacentral:tRNA from 2 species